rnacentral:rRNA from 1 species
GACGAACGCUGGCGGCGUGCUUAACACAUGCAAGUCGAACGGAAAGGCCCUGCUUGCAGGGUACUCGAGUGGCGAACGGGUGAGUAACACGUGGGUGAUCUGCCCUGCACUUCGGGAUAAGCCUGGGAAACUGGGUCUAAUACCGGAUAGGAGCCAUUUUUAGUGUGAUGGUUGGAAAGUUUUUUCGGUGUAGGAUGAGCUCGCGGCCUAUCAGCUUGUUGGUGGGGUAAUGGCCUACCAAGGCGGCGACGGGUAGCCGGCCUGAGAGGGUGGACGGCCACAUUGGGACUGAGAGACGGCCCAGACUCCUACGGGAGGCAGCAGGGGGGAAGAUUGCACAAGGGGCGCAAGCCUGAUGCAGCGACGCCGCGGGGGGGAUGACGGCCUUCGGGUUGUAAACUCCUUUCGCUAGGGACGAAGCUUUUUGUGACGGUACCUAGAUAAGAAGCACCGGCUAACUACGUG